rnacentral:rRNA from 1 species
CGCGAAGAACCUUACCUGGGCUUGAACCGCUGGUAGUAAAACCUCGAAAGGGGAAUGAUCCUGGCUUGCCAGGAAGCCAGCAGAGGUGCUGCAUGGCUGUCGUCGGCUCGUGUCGUGAGAUGUUGGGUUAAGUCCCGCAACGAGCGCAACCCUUGCCUUUAGUUGCCAGCGAGUUAUGUCGGGUACUCUAAGGGGACUGCCUCGGAUAACGGGGAGGAAGGUGGGGAUGAUGUCAAGUCAGCAUGGCCUUUAUGUCCAGGGCUACACACGUGCUACAAUGGACGGUACAGAGAGUCGCAAGGCCGCGAGGUGGAGCUAAUCUCUAAAACCGUUCUCAGUUCGGAUCGCAGGCUGCAAUUCGCCUGCGUGAAGUUGGAAUCGCUAGUAAUCGCGGAUCAGCAACGCCGCGGUGAAUACGUUCUCGGGCCUUGUACACACCGCCCGUCACAUCACGAAAGUUGGUCGUACCCGAAGUCGCUAGGCUAACCCUUCGGGGAAGCAGGUGCCGAAGGUAUGGUCGAUGAUUGGGGUGAAGUCGUAACAAGGUAACCUUAAUUAAAA